UACGUAGGGGGCAAGCGUUGUCCGGAUUUAUUGGGCGUAAAGAGCGUGUAGGCGGCCAAACAGGUCAGCUGUGAAAACUCGAGGCUCAACCUCGAGACGUCGGUUGAAACCGUUUGGCUAGAGUCCGGAAGAGGAGAGUGGAAUUCCCGGUGUAGCGGUGAAAUGCGCAGAUAUCGGGAAGAACACCCGUGGCGAAGGCGGCUCUCUGGGACGGUACUGACGCUGAGACGCGAAAGCGUGGGGAGCGAACGAGG
rnacentral:rRNA from 1 species